rnacentral:rRNA from 1 species
ACCUGCCCUAUGAUAAUUAUUAAAUGGCCGCGAUAUUUUGAUCGUGCAAAGGUAGCAUAAUCAUUAGUUUCUUAAUUAGAAACUGGAAUGAAAGGUUGAACGAGAAAAAAACUGUCUCAAUUUAAUUUAAUUAGAAUUUUAUUUUUAAGUUAAAAAGCUUAAAUAAAUUUAAAAGACGAGAAGACCCUAUAGAGUUUUAUAUUUAAUAGUUUUUAAAAAAAUAUAGUAUAUAAUUUUUUAUUGUUUAUUAAAUAUUUAGUUGGGGUGACUAAAAAAUUAAAUAAACUUUUUUUUAAUUUUAACAUUAAUAUAUGAAUUAUUGAUCCAUAAUUUAUGAUUAAAAGAUUAAAUUA